CCUACGGGAGGCUGCAGUGAGGAAUAUUGGUCAAUGGACGAGAGUCUGAACCAGCCAAGUAGCGUGAAGGAUGACUGCCCUAUGGGUUGUAAACUUCUUUUAUAUGGGAAUAAAACGUUCCACGUGUGGGAUUUUGUAUGUACCAUAUGAAUAAGGAUCGGCUAACUCCGUGCCAGCAGCCGCGGUAAUACGGAGGAUCCGAGCGUUAUCCGGAUUUAUUGGGUUUAACGGGAGCGUAGGUGGAUUGUUAAGUCAGUUGUGAAAGUUUGCGGCUCAACCGUAAAAUUGCAGUUGAAACUGGCAGUCUUGAGUACAGUAGAGGUGGGCGGAAUUCGUGGUGUAGCGGUGAAAUGCUUAGAUAUCACGAAGAACUCCGAUUGCGAAGGCAGUUCACUGGACUGCAACUGACACUGAGGCUCGAAAGUGUGGGUAUCAAACAGGAUUAGAUACCCCUGUAGUC
rnacentral:rRNA from 1 species